AACCCGGGGAGAGGACCUGGGGCCCCGGGGACAGCCUUUCCGUGGUCACGGCCUCCAAACUCGAGUCCACUUGACAUUUUGUCUCUUAGAAGCGUAUCCACGCCGAUGGAGAUGUCAUCCACGUAUCGGGGCUGGUGGUAGCUGUGGGCCCGCUUACUCUUCACCAGGAAAGACCUCGGCAUGGUGCUUAAAGUUCCUUUGACUCCUGCAGCCUAACCGCAGAGUGACAACCCCCCCACCCCCACCCGGCCCCUCGUAAACCAUCUCUACAUGACCGCUCCAUUCUGAUUUGAGUCUGAACAGAAAUUGUUGACACAAAAUAUAACUCGCUGGAUAGCAAUGCAGGUAAAAGAAAUGCUCCAAAAUGAAGCCAAUCGUCUGUUGAGAAUGAACGAAUACAAUUUCACGUGCCACCAUUUUUAACCAACUUCACCUUGGAGGGGGCUCGAGUGCAACCCGCAGAUAGGAGCAGAGUGUGAACGCAGUGAAUAUGAUUUUCUGGAUGCCGCUACACCACAAGACUCUUGUUCUUCUUUCACACAGGAGCUGGUCUGACACCUUGUUCAUUUUUUCGCCUGCUCUCACACCAAAUCGUACCGCAUGUCAUUUCUUUGCUUUUUGUUACUGAUUUGACGGAAUUGGGUCUUGGACAGUUGUGUGUGUGUGUGUGUGUGGGGGGGG